CUAACUAACACAUUGCAAGUCUCAGCACACCCGUGAGGAUGCCCUUCCCACUAACCCAUAAGAAGGAGCAGAUAUCAGGCACAGAUUCUAGCCUAAAACACCUAGCACCGCCACACCCAUAAGGGCAUGCAGCAGYGAUUAACAUUACCAAUAAGCGUCAGCUUGAACCAGUUAGGGGUAUACGAGCCGGCCAACUUGUGUGCCAGCCGCCGCGGCUAAACCAGGGGCCCAAAUUGAUAAUUUUCGGCGUCAAGCGUGAUAUUAAGACCACAUCACCACUAUUAGAGUUGAUCAAAGAUUUAGUAGUAAUAAGCCCAUCUUAACGAAAACACACGCAAAAGCCACUCUAACUAUUACUUAAUGCACGACAGCCUAGACACAAACUGGGAUUAGAUACCCCACUAUGCUAGACCGUAAACUUGAAUUACACCACCUAACGCCUGGGAAUUACGAGCCAUGCUUAAAACCCAAAGGACUUGACGGUAACCCAUCCACCUAGAGGAGCCUGUUCUACAACCGAUAGUCCCCGUUUCACCUCACCCCCACUAGAUUUCCCAGCCUGUAUACCUCCGUCGCAAGCUUACUGUAUGAGCACAAAAUAGUGAGCUCAACUAACCAACCUUAAAUACGUCAGGUCAAGGUGCAGCCCAUGUGGGGGGAGUAAUGGGCUACAAUUUCUAAAUUAGAACAAACUAACAGUCACAUGAAACUGUGACCCAAAGGCGGAUUUAGUAGUAAGAGCGGAACAGAGAGCCGCUCUUAACACGGACCUGGGCUAUGUACAAACCGCCCGUCACCCUCUUCAAGGUACUUAGCAAGGAA
rnacentral:rRNA from 1 species